UUCCAGACUCCUACGGGAGGCAGCAGUGGGGAAUAUUGCACAAUGGGGGAAACCCUGAUGCAGCGACGCCGCGUGAGUGAAGAAGUAUUUCGGUAUGUAAAGCUCUAUCAGCAGGGAAGAAAAUGACGGUACCUGACUAAGAAGCCCCGGCUAACUACGUGCCAGCAGCCGCGGUAAUACGUAGGGGGCAAGCGUUAUCCGGAUUUACUGGGUGUAAAGGGAGCGUAGACGGCGCUGCAAGUCCGGAGUGAAAGCCCAUGGCUUAACCAUGGUACUGCUCUGGAAACUGUGGAGCUUGAGUGCGGGAGGGGCAGGCGGAAUUCCUAGUGUAGCGGUGAAAUGCGUAGAUAUUAGGAGGAACACCGGCGGCGAAGGCGGCCUGCUGGACCGUAACUGACGUUGAGGCUCGAAAGCGUGGGGAGCAAACAGGAUUAGAUACCCCCGUAU
rnacentral:rRNA from 1 species